ensembl:misc_RNA 7SK 7SK RNA
GGAUGUGUAGGUGAUAUACCUUCAACACCUGCCACCCUUCUGAUCAUUAAAGUUGAUUCUGUCUGACCUGUCUUCUUAGGUUGUGUUCCCUUUCUCCCACACUACUCCUUUCAUUCUCUCUUGAAGAUCCACACUGGGUCAAAGAGGAAGAUCUUCUCUGAAUAAAGGAGGACAGGUCUCCAGUCAAAAAUACAUGAGCAGGUAUGCUUCUCUGCUAGAAUCUGAAAACAAGCCACCAAGGUCUAUUUCUAUUUUGAAACUUGUUCCUACACUACAUUCUAGGCUGCCCUAUGGUUCAAUAAGUUUUAGUAUAACCUGGAG